rnacentral:rRNA from 1 species
AGUGAACGCUGGCGGUAGGCCUAACACAUGCAAGUCGAACGGCAGCACAGUAAGAGCUUGCUCUUACGGGUGGCGAGUGGCGGACGGGUGAGGAAUACAUCGGAAUCUACUUUUUCGUGGGGGAUAACGUAGGGAAACUUACGCUAAUACCGCAUACGACCUACGGGUGAAAGCAGGGGAUCUUCGGACCUUGCGCGAUUGAAUGAGCCGAUGUCGGAUUAGCUAGUUGGCGGGGUAAAGGCCCACCAAGGCGACGAUCCGUAGCUGGUCUGAGAGGAUGAUCAGGCACACUGGAACUGAGACAAGGUCCAGACUCCUAAGGGAGGCAGCAGUGGGGAAUAUUGGACAAUGGGCGCAAGCCUGAUCCAGCCAUACCGCGUGGGUGAAGAAGGCCUUCGGGUUGUAAAGCCCUUUUGUUGGGAAAGAAAAGCAGCAGGUUAAUACCCCGCUGUUCUGACGGUACCCAAAGAAUAAGCACCGGCUAACUUCGUG